AAUGAACGCUGGCGGCAGGCUUAACACAUGCAAGUCGAGCGAGAACGGGACUUCGGUCCUUAUUAGAGCGGCAAACGGGUGAGUAACACGUGGGAACCUACCCCUUGGUAGAGGAUAGCCAUUGGAAACGAUGAUUAAUACUCUAUAAGCACUACGGUGGAAAGAUUUAUCGCCGAGGGAUGGGCCCGCGCUAGAUUAGCUAGUUGGUAAGGUAAUGGCUUACCAAGGCUACGAUCUAUAGCAGGUUUGAGAGGAUGAUCUGCCACACUGGGACUGAGAUACGGCCCAG
rnacentral:rRNA from 1 species